rnacentral:misc_RNA from 1 species
CAGAGUUGAAAAACUCCUCAAACCAUUGUGAAUCUACCUUUAUAUUCGUUGCUUUGGCGGGCGGCUCCAGGGCGGAGCCACUGCUCGUUGGGUCGGGCGCCCGCCGAAGGACAACCAAAACUCAUCGAAUCUGUGCGGAUUUCAGAGUAAAAAAAUAUCAAGCUAUCA